UACAGAGGGGGCAAGCGUUGUUCGGAAUUACUGGGCGUAAAGGGCGCGUAGGCGGCCUGCUAAGUCGAACGUGAAAUCCCCGGGCUUAACCCGGGAACUGCGUCCGAUACUGGUGGGCUUGAAUCCGGGAGAGGGAUGUGGAAUUCCAGGUGUAGCGGUGAAAUGCGUAGAUAUCUGGAGGAACACCGGUGGCGAAGGCGGCAUCCUGGACCGGUAUUGACGCUGAGGCGCGAAAGCCAGGGGAGCAAAGCAGGGAU
rnacentral:rRNA from 1 species